AUUGAACGCUAGCGGGAUGCUUUACACAUGCAAGUCGAACGGCAGCGCGGACUUCGGUCUGGCGGCGAGUGGCGAACGGGUGAGUAAUGUAUCGGAACGUGCCCAGUAGCGGGGGAUAACUACGCGAAAGCGUAGCUAAUACCGCAUACGCCCUACGGGGGAAAGCCGGGGAUCGUAAGACCUUGCACUAUUGGAGCGGCCGAUAUCGGAUUAGCUAGUUGGUGAGGUAACGGCUCACCAAGGCGACGAUCCGUAGCUGGUUUGAGAGGACGACCAGCCACACGGGGACUGAGACACGGCCCAGACUCCUACGGGAGGCAGCAGUGGGGAAUUUUGGACAAUGGGGGCAACCCUGAUCCAGCCAUCCCGCGUGUGCGAUGAAGGCCUUCGGGUUGUAAAGCACUUUUGGCAGGAAAGAAACGUCGCGGGCUAAUACCCCGUGGAACUGACGGUACCUGCAGAAUAAGCACCGGCUAACUACGUG
rnacentral:rRNA from 1 species